UACGUAGGUGGCAAGCGUUAUCCGGAAUUAUUGGGCGUAAAGAGCGCGCAGGUGGUUAAUUAAGUCUGAUGUGAAAGGCUACGGCUCAACCGUAGUAAGCCUUUGAAACUGGGAAACUUGAGUGCAGGAGAGGAGAGUGGAAUUCCUAGUGUAGCGGUGAAAUGCGUAGAUAUUAGGAGGAACACCAGUUGCGAAGGCGGCUCUCUGGACUGUAACUGACACUGAGGCACGAAAGCGUGGGGAGCAAACAGG
rnacentral:rRNA from 1 species